CUGAGAAGGAGGGUGAGGGGCCACACACCAGUGAGCCCCAGGGUCUCUGGAGAGAGAGAGAGAAAGGUCUUCCUUCCGUUGGUUCACCCCUGAAAUGGCCACUACGGCUGGUGCACUGUGCCGAUCCAAAGCCAGGAGCCAGGUACUUCCUCCUAGUCUCCCAUGUGGGAGCAGGGCCCAAGGACUUGGGCCAUCCUCCACUGCACUCCCAGACCACAGCAGAGAGCUAGACUGGAAGAGGAGCAACCGGGACAGAAUCCAGCGCCCCAACCAGGACUAGAACUCUGGGUGCCGGCACUGCAGGUGGAGGAUUAGCCAACUACCAACCAUUCAUUAACUACCUAGAUGCUCAAUUUGACGUCUGUCUUCAAGAAGAACUGAAGAUUAAACGUUCCUUCUUUCAGUACCACGAUUCUCGUGUCCAUGUGUGCCUUUACUUCAUUUCACCUGCGGGACAUUCUCUGAAGUCCCUUGACAUAAUAACAAUGAAGAACAUUGACGGUAAGGUGUGUGCAAUGAAUCAUCAGCUUUUAAAGUUUAAUAUUUAUUUUGGAAUAAGACGGUAUUUUGAAGCAUUUGCA